ensembl:snRNA U2 U2 spliceosomal RNA
AUCGCUUCUUGGCCUCUUGAAGGCUAGGAUCAAGUGUAGUGUCUGUUCUUAUCCGUUUAAUUGCUGUUAGGAUGUGAAAUGGAUGAUAACGAUGUGAAAUGGAUUUUUUGCGGCAGGGGCUGGAAGAGGAGCUUGCUCCAUCCGCUCCGCACAUUGGCCCAGUAUUGUAGCAUCUCUGGGAGUGGUGCACCUCCC